UUAGUUCAGUCUGACAAAGUCAGAGAGCCGUGUCUCUCUACAGUGAGAGGUUUUUGUACGGCGGCUCAAUGACUUUGUAUCACUGUGGUACACGUUCGGUGGAGGAACCAGACUGAAUGUUGGAAGUGAUGUCCGUCCCACCCUGACGGUGCUGCCCCCCUCCAGUGAGGAGCUGCUGAAGGGGAAGGCCACGCUCAUGUGCCUGGCCAACAAGGGCUUCCCCUCAGACUGGAGUCUGGCCUGGAAGGUGGACGGCAGCAGCAGCAGCUGGGAGGAGAGCAGGAGCCCCGGGGUGCUGGGGAAGGACGGCAAAUACAGCUGGAGCAGCACCCUGAGGCUCCCUGCAGACCAGUGGGAGAAGGUGGGCUCUGUGACCUGUGAGGCCACCCAGGGCUCCCAGACUCCACUCUCAGAGACACUGAGGAGAGACCAGUGUUCCCAGUCCUGACCU